rnacentral:rRNA from 1 species
GACAGUUUGGUCCCUAUCUGCAGUGGGCGUUGGAAGUUUGACGGGGGCUGCUCCUAGUACGAGAGGACCGGAGUGGACGAACCUCUGGUGUACCGGUUGUGACGCCAGUCGCAUCGCCGGGUAGCUAAGUUCGGAAGAGAUAAACGCUGAAAGCAUCUAAGCGUGAAACUCGCCUGAAGAUGAGACUUCCCUAGGGAUUUAAUCCCUCUGAAGAGACGUUCGAGACCAGGACGUUGAUAGGUCGGGUGUGGAAGAGUGGUAACACUUGGAGCUAACCGAUACUAAUUGCUCGUGAGGCUUGACUCUAU